rnacentral:lncRNA from 1 species
UUUUUUUUAAACAGAGAGUCAAGCUUUGUUCAUACUUGAAUUAUGUACUUUGCAUAAGUCAUGCAAUUUGACUUGAACCCACAGGACUGAAAAUAAAAUGAACUCAGACUGUAGAAGGAGACUGUAAGCAAGUAAGGGCAUUAAUCAAAGUGAAAGAGGCACCCCUUACUGUUAGCUCUGUCCUUCUCCAGCCUGCUGCUGCCAGAUUAUUUUGGGUUCCUUGUGCUUGACUCAUCAAAGUGGCAAAAACAGGUUAAAAUUUUCAUCAUGGAAAAGGCAUUUGUCUGAUAAACGAACAUUUGUGCCUAUGCCCCGAGGAGGUUGACAAGCAGGCAAUUUUUAAAAAUCAUAAGUGAGUGCAUACCCUUGCCACUUGUAAUCACGACAAAGCUUAAGUAAU